AAGAGUUCGAAACCAGCCUGAGCAAGAGCACUGUGCGAGAGGCUGGGGACACAGCGGCCGUUGAGAUUCUGGUCCUGCCCCGAAGAAACGCAGUCCACGAUCCCCUCAGACCAUCAGACAAGCAAUCGCAAUGCAGCGCCAUGGAUAGCGCACCACAGGAUGUGGACGGGAGCACGGAGAGGAGACACAUGUGUCCAGAUCAGGGGGACCAAGGGGAGUGAUGUCAAAGGCUGCAAGUGCAACUGCCAUUGAAUCAACCAAACAAAAAAAUCUCAUGUGUGUGUUUGGUCCCUACUCCUCAAAUGAAGGUCAAGAUUUAAGAAGAACCAAUCUCUACCAUGAAAAAGAUCCAAACCCAAAAGAGGGUGAUUUUUCUUGAAAGUUGUUCACUGCAAUGAAAGUUUCUACGUUUGAGAUACGAGGUUCAAGGAGAAUAAAACCAUCAGCUGAUGCAGGCUUUCUUUUUUUCUUUAAGUUUCCAGAGAAAGGAAAGCGAGUUUCCACCGCACUUCCAUUUUCCACCGGCUUCCUCAGGGUGUCAGACGAGCCUCGGGGACAGCCGUCCGGCUCAGGGAAGAAAGUGACUCACACGUCACUCUCGGGCGUCAGUGUGUGCGGGAGAGGGGCUGGGGGGGCGAGACUGCCCCGGCCGCAGGGCAACUCUGCUCCUAGGAAGGAGGCGCAGCGGGCACUCGGCGCCCGGGCUCCCGGCCCCGAGAACGCCCGCGCGAGCUAGUCCCAAAGC